GACGAACGCUGGCGGCGUGCCUAAUACAUGCAAGUUGAGCGCUGAAGGUUGGUACUUGUACCAACUGGAUGAGCAGCGAACGGGUGAGUAACGCGUGGGGAAUCUGCCUUUGAGCGGGGGACGACAUUUGGAAACGAAUGCUAAUACCGCAUAAAAACUUUAAACACAAGUUUUAAGUUUGAAAGAUGCAAUUGCAUCACUCAAAGAUGAUCCCGCGUUGUAUUAGCUAGUUGGUGAGGUAAAGGCUCACCAAGGCGAUGAUACAUAGCCGACCUGAGAGGGUGAUCGGCCACAUUGGGACUGAGACACGGCCCAAACUCCUACGGGAGGCAGCAGUAGGGAAUCUUCGGCAAUGGACGAAAGUCUGACCGAGCAACGCCGCGUGAGUGAAGAAGGUUUUCGGAUCGUAAAACUCUGUUGGUAGAGAAGAACGUUGGCGAGAGUGGAAAGCUCAUCAAGUGACGGUAACUACCCAGAAAGGGACGGCUAACUACGUG
rnacentral:rRNA from 1 species